UCUAUGCCGCAGUUAAACAAUAAGUAUUCCGCCUGGGAAGUACGAUCGCAAGAUUAAAACUCAAAGGAAUUGACGGGGGCCCGCACAAGCAGCGGAGCAUGUGGUUUAAUUCGAAGCAACGCGAAGAACCUUACCUAGACUUGACAUCUCCUGAAUUACUCGUAAUGGAGGAAGCCCUUCGGGGCAGGAAGACAGGUGGUGCAUGGUUGUCGUCAGCUCGUGUCGUGAGAUGUUAGGUUAAGUCCUGCAACGAGCGCAACCCUUAUUAUUAGUUGCUACCAUUAAGUUGAGCACUCUAGUAAGACUGCCCGGGUCAACCGGGAGGAAGGUGGGGAUGACGUCAAAUCAUCAUGCCCCUUAUGUCUAGGGCUACACACGUGCUACAAUGGUGAGUACAGAGAGAUGCAAACCCGUGAGGGGGAGCAAAACUCAAAAACUUAUCUCAGUUCGGAUUGUAGGCUGAAACUCGCCUACAUGAAGCUGGAGUUGCUAGUAAUCGCGAAUCAGCAUGUCGCGGUGAAUACGUUCCCGGGCCUUGUACACACCGCCCGUCACACCAUGAGAGCUGGCAACACCCGAAGUCCGUGAGGUAACCGUAAGGGACCAGCGGCCGAAGGUGGGGUUAGUGAUUGGGGUGAAGUCGUAACAAGGUAGCCG
rnacentral:rRNA from 1 species